rnacentral:sRNA from 1 species
UUUGGAUUUUCAAACUUUACUAUAGUAACAUUGUUUUAUGUUUUUUUAUUUUUUUUGUCGUCUGAAUAAUUAUAUUGAUGGUUAAAAUGUUACACAUACAUCAUACUUCAAUCUUGACAAAACCAAGAUGAGAAGAUUAGGAAUUAGAAGAGAAUAAUCCUAAUCUACCAAAAAAUAUAGCCAAAGAAAGUGGACAGCGGACAAAAGGAGAAUCCAGGAUCAAGAGGAGGAUCUCUCUUCAACAAAAAGGCCAUUGAGCCAGAAUGGAUGUCCAGACGCAACAUAAGAGUUGAGUCUAAAGUCUGAGACAACCGAUUGAGCAAUUAACGAGGCUCCUCUAUUGGUUUCCACAGUUUCUAACACUAAUUUCCAGUCCACAAUCUUCUCCAAAAAAUAGUUAAUUUCUGUUACCUGAUGAGUAAAGGAAGGCCAAGCCUUGGGUCUUCGAAAAGCUCCAACAAUAUCCUGAGCUUCCAAAGCAAAAACAACUUUACCUAAAUGAAGAGAGUGCAUGCUGUCGAUAGCCCAAGUAAGGCAAUUAAGAGUUGCUUCUUUUUUAUCCUUCACAUCAAGGAAAGCUCUCCUACUGUGCUGUAAAACGACUCCCGACGCAUUUCUCACAACCCAUGAAGCUCCAGCGAAACCAUGCUUAUUAGACCACCUAAGACCAAUGUUGCAUUUGACCCAAUCAGUAGGAGGAGGUUCCCAUUCUUUCUUUACCUCUAACCUAGAGAUCGAUUCUUCCACAUCAACCGAAGUAGGGAUGAGCUGAGAGGUGAACCACUCAUCCAUAUCUUCAUCUAUUUUAACAACAGUCUCGGCUGGACAGUAACUUGCCCCUUCGAAAAAGAACUUGUUUCUAUUUUUCCAGAGUCUCCAGAGAAUCCAAGGAAAACAUCUUCUGUUUCUUAGCGGUAUCUUUCCAUUCUUCUUUAUAUCAAAGAGAGAUUGAAAAUUUCUGUAAACAGACUCCUCACUAAAACCGCCUUCAGGGAAAGGAAACAGAAAGAUAGCCCAAACCUGUCUCGCUACAGGACAAGUGAACAAAACAUGAUUUAUGGAUUCACCUUCUUGUCCACACAUUUGACACCUCGAAUCAAUCUUCAUGCCUCUAGUUAACAGCAAGUUUGCCACCGGAAGAGCCGAGCUGUGAGCUCUCCAGAGGAAAAUCUUGAUUUUUGGAGCAGAUUGAACCAACCAGACUUGCUCUUUCAAGGCAUUUAAAGAUGGCUGGACAAUUGCAUCAAGAAAAACCUGGUUAUUGGGAGAUCUGUUAGCAAACCAAUAACCCGAUUUGACUGAGUAAUCUCCACUUUUAGUAUGCUCCCAACAAUGGAAAUCAUCUUUUGAGACCACAGGCUUCUUUGAGAGAAUAAGCUGAACAUCAUUGGGAUAGAAAAGCUCCUCCAAUAUGUCUCUAUCCCAUCCUCUAGCCUCCACAUCGAUGAGAUCCUUUACCAUUAAAUCAAUAUUAAUGAUCGGGUUCUUGAUAAGAGGAGCUCUCAACCCAUUGUCGUAAAUCCAAGAGUCAAUCCAAACAUUCAGAGAUUUCCCAUUUCCAACCAUUUUCCUCAGCCCUUUGCACAACAACUCUCUACCAUGUAAAAUGCUUCUCCAUGCAUAAGAGGGUCUUGAGGUGAUGUUAGCAUUCAGGAAGUCAUCCCACUGAAAGUAUCUGCUCUUCAUUAAGCGAGCAAAAAGGCAAUCCGGAUUCUGAAGAAUACGCCAGGUCUGUUUAGCAAGUAAAGCUUGAUUGAAAACUUCAAUGUCUCUGAACCCUAACCCACCUUCAGCCUUUGAUAAACACAAUCUCUCCCAGCUCACCCAAACCAUUUUCCGUUUGUGUUCUAAAGCACUCCACCAGAAAUCACUCAUUGCGCUUGUUAAGUUUGCACAAGUCGUUUUAGUUAACUUAAAGCAGGACAUAGCGUAAACAGGCAUAGCCAAUGCCACUGCUUUAAGUAGAACUUCUUUACCACCCAUGGACAAAGACCUUGCAAACCAACCAGACAAUCUAGCCUUCAACUUGUCCUUAAUAUAGUCAAGAAGCUGGAUUUUCGAGCCACUAAAGCAUUCCGGGAGACCUAGAUAGGUACCUGCUCCGCCUUCAUUCAUGAUUCCCAUCUUUGUUUUGAUAAGAAGCUGCAGAACAGAAUUAACUUUGGAGCCAAAAGAUAAAGAAGACUUAUCCAAGUUGACUCUCUGACCCGUAGCAUCCCCAUACUCCUUUAGGAUCUGUUGCAGCGUGUUAAUCUGAUCCUCUUAUGCUUUGCAAAGGAAAAGGCUGUCAUCAGCAAAAAGAAGAUGAUGUACUGCUGGACCUUCUUCAGAGAAUUGGAUCCUGUUUAUCAGACCAUUACUUUCUGCUCUAUUCAUUAGGUGAGUGAGACCUUCAGAACAUAGAACAAAGAGAAAAAGUGAUAGGGGGUCUCCUUGCCUCAGACCUCUACUUGGUUUAAUCAUUCCAAAAGCUUGAUCAUUGAUGAGAACCGAGAAAGUAACCGAUGUAACACAGAACAUAAUCCAGGAUAUCCAUUGAGGAGCAAAACCCAAAGCAGAAAGCAACGCUUGAAGGUAAGACCAUUCCACCCUGUCAAAAGCUUUUGACAUGUCUGACUUUAAGGCGAGAAACUCUGAAGAUAUUCUUGGGUGAGUGCGCAGACCGUGAAUCAGCUCAUGAGCUAUCAGAAUAUUAUCUGAUAUUAAUCUUUCUUCAACAAAGGCUGAUUGAUUAGGUGAAACUAUCUCUCCCAGCAAAGGCUGCAGUCUUUUGACUAAGACUUUGGAAAUGAUCUUGUAGAGGACAGAACAAAGACUGAUUGGUCUAAGAUCAGCCAUCUUCUCAGGAUUAACCUUCUUCUGAAGCAGACACAACUGAGUGUAAUUCCAUUCAACCGGAAAGGAACCAGAGAUGAAAAAGUCUUUGACCUCCUUUGUAACCUGCUCACCAAUCAGAGGCCAAUAUUUUUGGAAGAAAAGACCAGUAAAACCAUCAGCUCCUGGAGCACUUGAAGGUCUAAUACUGAAAACCGCCUCUUUUAUUUCCUCAGAAGUUACCUCCUUGGUAAGAAUUUCAUUCAUCGAAGACGAGAUUCUUGGUUGGAAGUCAUGGAAGAUCUCCUGGAAAUUACCCGGAUUAGAUGAAGUAAAAAGAUCUCUAAAGUAAGCUUCAGCCACUGCUCCUUUAGACGCCUCUCCUUUUUGUUUGUUUCCAUUCACAUCCAAAAGAUAAUCAAUUCUCUGCUUCCCUCUUCUAGCCUUAACAGAAUUAUGGAAAAACUGAGAGUUUUUAUCCCCUUCAUUCAUCCAUUGAUCUCUGCUUCUUGUUCUCCAGUAAGUUUCUUCCUCUCUGUGUGCUUCACAUAACUCUUCUCUUAUCUCAGCAAGAAUUGUAAAUCUUGGGAAAUCUGAAGAUUGUUCGGCCUCUAAAUCCACUUGAGCCUGAGUAAUUCGUGUGAGAGAGUUAAGGUUGUUUUCUCUUUUCCACUUACUCAGACUUUUUCUGCAACUCCUUAGCUUAUCAGAAACCUUUGAGAUCCUUCUUGUAGAGUUAGCACUCCAAGCUUGCUGAAUAGCUUCCUU